rnacentral:rRNA from 2 species
GCGUAAGCGCGCGCAGGCGGUUUCUUAAGUCUGAUGUGAAAGCCCACGGCUCAACCGUGGAGGGUCAUUGGAAACUGGGGAACUUGAGUGCAGAAGAGAAAAGCGGAAUUCCACGUGUAGCGGUGAAAUGCGUAGAGAUGUGGAGGAACACCAGUGGCGAAGGCGGCUUUUUGGUCUGUAACUGACGCUGAGGCGCGAAAGCGUGGGGAGCAAACAGGAUUAGAUACCCUGGUAGUCCACGCCGUAAACGAUGAGUGCUAAGUGUUAGAGGGUUUCCGCCCUUUAGGGCUGCACCUAACGCAUUAAGCACUCGGCCUGGGGAGUACGGUCGCAAGACUGAAACUCAAAGGAAUUGACGGGGGCCCGCACAACGGGUGGAGCAUGUGGUUUAAUUCGAAUCAACGCAAAGACCCUUACCA